rnacentral:tRNA from 1 species
GCCCGAGUGGCGGAAUCAGGUAUACGCGCAGCACUUAAAAUGCUGUCUCCUUAAGGAGGUGCCGGUUCGACUCCGGCCUCGGGCA